CUGAGCGGAGUCAGGCAGAACAGCCAUAUGUGCAGCCUAGUGCAAGAGAAAGUCAUGCUGCACAGAACAGUUUGGACCUGGGCAUGCCAAAUGGAAAAUGAAAACAUGGAACAAAAAGUAAGAAAACACAGGAGAAUUACAAAGGGAAGACAGCAUCAUCUCCAUCCCUGUGAAAUCUGUGAACAAGGUUUUUGGGUAAAAACAACAAAAAGAGCAUUUGCUGGCACCAUAAAGUUUAAAGAUGCUUUAUCUGGAUUAACAUUUGUGGACUUUAUCGGAUAUAAGAAAUUUUGGCUAGCCGUUUGAUUGCCGUAGCUUGAUCUGGUCCCACAGGAGACUUCUCAUCAACCCAGUAGCUGAAGGAGUCAUGUGACCCUACAGUGGAGAAAGUACGCCGAUGACACCCAAAUCUAUUUCUAUAUCUCGUUCGUUGGCCUUGAAUUCUGAUG